CUUCGAUAAAGGCAAACCGGUUGAAAGGCCGGGACGCAAAGCCACGGGUCUAAGGUUUGGAAAAACUAUGAUCGCCGGGUUACCGAA
rfam:Bacillus marisflavi strain JCM 11544 super9, whole genome shotgun sequence.